rnacentral:tRNA from 1 species
GACUCCUUAGCUCAGUGGUAGAGCGUGUGAUUCCAGUCCACAAGGUCGUGCGUUCGAUCCGCCCAGGAGUCA